rnacentral:rRNA from 1 species
UACGAAGGGGGCUAGCGUUGCUCGGAAUCACUGGGCGUAAAGCGCACGUAGGCGGCUUGUUAAGUCAGGGGUGAAAUCCUGGAGCUCAACUCCAGAACUGCCUUUGAUACUGGCGAGCUUGAGUCCGGGAGAGGUGAGUGGAACUGCGAGUGUAGAGGUGAAAUGCGCAGAUAUCAGGAGGAACACCGGUGGCGAAGGCGGGUCUCUGGGCCGAAAUUGACGCUGAGGAGCGAAAGCGUGGGGAGCAAACAGG